rnacentral:rRNA from 1 species
UACGUAGGGGCAAGCGUUAUCCGGAUUUACUGGGUGUAAAGGGAGCGCAGACGGCAGUGCAAGUCUGAUGUGAAAGCCCGGGGCUCAACUCCGGAACUGCAUUGGAAACUGUACAGCUUGAGUGUCGGAGAGGUAAGCGGAAUUCCUAGUGUAGCGGUGAAAUGCGUAGAUAUUAGGAGGAACACCGGUGGCGAAGGCGGCUUACUGGACGAUGACUGACGUUGAGGCUCGAAAGCGUGGGGAGCAAACAGGAUUAGAUACCCCCGUACGUCCU